AAAUUGAAGAGUUUGAUCAUGGCUCAGAUUGAACGCUGGCGGCAGGCCUAACACAUGCAAGUCGAACGGUAACAGGAAACAGCUUGCUGUUUCGCUGACGAGUGGCGGACGGGUGAGUAAUGUCUGGGAAACUGCCUGAUGGAGGGGGAUAACUACUGGAAACGGUAGCUAAUACCGCAUAACGUCGCAAGACCAAAGAGGGGGACCCUCGGGCCUCUUGCCAUCGGAUGUGCCCAGAUGGGAUUAGCUUGUUGGUGGGGUAAUGGCUCACC
rnacentral:rRNA from 1 species